UGACUGAAGUGGAGAAGGGUUCCGUGUGAACAGUGGUUGAUCACGGGUUAGUCGGUCCUAAGCUCUAAGCGAAAGCUGAUAUUAAAUAUAUAAGUCAUUCAUAAAUACAUAUAUGUUGACUUUAUAUUGAGCGAAAGGGAAUACGGUUCCAAUUCCGUAACCUAUUGAGUAUACGUUUAUUGUGGGUCCUAUAUAUUAUAUUUUAUAUAUUUUAUAUAGGUUUAAAGCUCAUCCUGGUAACAGAAGCUACCAUAGAGAAGCCGUCGAAGCAUACCGGAAGAGUUAUCUUUUCUGUUUCAUAACUGUAUUACCAUGGAAGUCUUUCGAAGAGAGAUAUGGUAAAUGAGUUAGAAGAGCAUGGCGUUUAUUGCUGUGUCGGGUAUGUAUUCCUCGGACCUUGAAAAUCUAUGGUAGGGCCACGUAAACAUUCUCAAUAGACCGUACCAAUAUCCGCAGCAGGUCUCCAAGGUUAAGAGUCUCUAGUCGAUAGAAUAAUGUAGGUAAGGGAAGUCGGCAAAUUAGAUCCGUAACUUCGGGAUAAGGAUUGGCUCUGAAGAUUGCGAUGUGUCGGGCUUGUUUGGGAAGUAUAUUAAUGUAUUGCUAAAAUAUCUGACUAGUUGGUAACGAUGAAAAGAUAUGAUUAAGCAAUACGAAAUACGGAACUCUCAAGCUAUGCUAUAUACAUAAAAGGGAAAAUAUUGGCGAAAGUUGAUAUUUUCUUGUAUAUAGAUUAUCAACGACCAUCAACAAACAAUCAGU
rnacentral:rRNA from 1 species